rnacentral:rRNA from 1 species
AGCCAUGCAUGUCUCAGUGCAUGCCGAAUUAAGGUGAAACCGCGAAUGGCUCAUUAAAUCAGUUAUGGUUCCUUGGAUCAUACAAAAAUUUACUUGGAUAACUGUGGUAAUUCUAGAGCUAAUACAUGCAAACUAGAGUUCCUCUCAGAGAUGGGAGGAACGCUUUUAUUAGAUCAAAACCAAUCGGUGGCGGGUGGUUCGCCAUUCGUUCAUCGUUUGCUUUGGUGACUCUGAAUAACUUUGUGCUGAUCGCACGGUCCUAGUACCGGCGACGCAUCUUUCAAAUGUCUGCCUUAUCAACUGUCGAUGGUAGGUUUUGCGCCUACCAUGGUUGUAACGGGUAACGGGGAAUCAGGGUUCGAUUCCGGAGAGGGAGCCUGAGAAACGGCUACCACAUCCAAGGAAGGCAGCAGGCGCGCAAAUUACCCACUCCCGGCACGGGGAGGUAGUGACGAAAAAUAACGAUACGGGACUCAUCCGAGGCCCCGUAAUCGGAAUGAGUACACUUUAAAUCCUUUAACAAGGAUCCAUUGGAGGGCAAGUCUGGUGCCAGCAGCCGCGGUAAUUCCAGCUCCAAUAGCGUAUAUUAAAGUUGUUGCGGUUAAAAAGCUCGUAGUUGAAUCUGUGUGCCACACUGUCGGUACACCGCUCGUCGGUGCUUACUGACACGAUGUGGGACGUCCUACCGGUGGGCUUAGCUUUGCCUUGUGCUUGGCGGUCCAACUAUACAUCCCAUCGCG